GAUGAACGCUGGCGGCGUGCCUAAUACAUGCAAGUCGAGCGAACGGACGAGAAGCUUGCUUUUCUUAUGUUAGCGGCGGACGGGUGAGUAACACGUGGAUAACCUACCUAUAAGACUGGGAUAACUUCGGGAAACCGGAGCUAAUACCGGAUAAUAUUUUGAACCGCAUGGUUCAAAAGUGAAAGACGGUCUUGCUGUCACUUAUAGAUGGAUCCGCGCUGCAUUAGCUAGUUGGUAAGGUAACGGCUUACCAAGGCAACGAUGCAUAGCCGACCUGAGAGGGUGAUCGGCCACACUGGAACUGAGACACGGUCCAGACUCCUACGGGAGGCAGCAGUAGGGAAUCUUCCGCAAUGGGCGAAAGCCUGACGGAGCAACGCCGCGUGAGUGAUGAAGGUCUUCGGAUCGUAAAACUCUGUUAUUAGGGAAGAACAUAUGUGUAAGAAACUGUGCACAUCUUGACGGUACCUAAUCAGAAAGCCACGGCUAACUACGUG
rnacentral:rRNA from 1 species